rnacentral:rRNA from 1 species
ACAGGUGGGUGGGUAGAAUAUACCAAGGCGAAAGAGUGAAACCUCGUUAAGGAACUCUGCAAUCUAGUCCCGUAACUUCGGAAGAAGGGAUGCCCAAGCUUGCUUGGGUCGCAGUGAAAGGGGACAACCGACUGUUUAUCAAAAACACAGCAUUGUGCCAAGACGAAAGUCCAAGUAUACGAUGUGACACGUGACCAAUGCGGAAAGAUUAAGGCAAGGGGUUAGCCGCAAGGCGAAGCUCUGAACCCAAGUCCCCGUGAAUGUCGGCCGUAACAAUAACGGUCCUAAGGUAGUGAAAUUCCUUGUCGGGUAAGUUCCGACCUGCACGAAUCGUGUAACGAGUUGUCCGCUGUCUCAACGAGGGGCUCAGUGAAAUUGUAUUAGCGGUGAAGAUGCUGCUUACCCGCAGAAGGACGGAAAGACCCUAUGCACCUUAACUGUAAGCUGUCACUGGUCGUUUGGUUUCCAUGCUUAGCGUAAGUGGAAGGCUUUGAAGCGGAACUUUCGGGUUCCGCGGAGCCGUCAAUGAAACACCACCCUUGGGUAUUGAACGAUCUAACCGCAGUCCAUGAAUCUGGAUGUGGGACCAUGUCAGCCGGUCAGUUUUACUGGGGCGGUAUCCUCCCAAAGAGUAACGGAGGAGCGCGAAGGUUGGCUCAGCGUGGUUGGCAAUCACGUGUUGAGUGCAUUGGCAUAAGCCAGCCUAACUGUGAGACCUACAAGUCGAACAGAUGCGAAAGCAGGCCAAAGUGAUCCGGUGGUUUAAUGUGGAAUUGCCAUCCUUAACGGACAAAAGGUACGCUAGGGAUAACAGGCUGAUUUCAUCCAAGAGUUCAUAUCGACGAUGAAGUUUGGCACCUCGAUGUCGGCUCGUCGCAUCCUGGGGCUGGAGAAGGUCCCAAGGGUCCGGCUGUUCGCCGGUUAAAGCGGCACGCGAGCUGGGUUCAGAACGUCGCGAGACAGUUCGGUCCUCUAUCCUCUGUGGGCGCAGGAAAGUUGAGGGGUUCAAUUCCUAGUACGAGAGGACCGGAAUUGACGCACCUCUGGUGUUCCAGUUGUUCUGUCAAGAGCAUCGCUGGGCAGCUAUGUGCGGAAGGGAUAAGUGCUGAAAGCAUCUAAGCGCCAAGCCCAUCCCAAGAUAAGCUUUCCCUGAAGGAUCGUGGAAGACUACCACGUUGAUAGGCCACGGGUGCAAGUGCAGUAAUGCAUUCAGCUUAGUGGUACUAAUCAUCC